UACGAAGGGGGCUAGCGUUGCUCGGAAUUACUGGGCGUAAAGGGAGCGUAGGCGGACAGUUUAGUCAGAGGUGAAAUCCCGGGGCUCAACCUCGGAACUGCCUUUGAUACUGGCUGUCUUGAGUAUGGGAGAGGUGUGUGGAACUCCGAGUGUAGAGGUGAAAUUCGUAGAUAUUCGGAAGAACACCAGUGGCGAAGGCGACACACUGGCCCAUUACUGACGCUGAGGCUCGAAAGCGUGGGGAGCAAACAGG
rnacentral:rRNA from 1 species